UCGCAGCCCAGCCUGAGCGGAGCUCUUUUUGUUUUUGCAAUUUCGAGGAACGAGGAUUGCAAUAACAAAAAAGCGGGAGCGGAGGAUAGAAAUAGC
rnacentral:misc_RNA from 1 species